rnacentral:tRNA from 2 species
CAGAGAAUAGUUUAUUUAAAAUAUUAAUUUUGGAGAUUAAUGAUAAGGGAUUCCUUUUCUCUGA